rnacentral:rRNA from 1 species
AAACCAGCACCUCAAGUGGUCAGGAGGAUUAUUGGGCCUAAAGCAUCCGUAGCCUGCUUUGUAAGUUUUCGGUUAAAUCCAUAUGCUCAACAUAUGGGCUGCCGGGAAUACUGCACAGCUAGGGAGUGGGAGAGGUAGACGGUACUCCAUAGGAAGGGGUAAAAUCCUUUGAUCUAUGGAAGACCACCUGUGGCGAAGGCGGUCUACCAGAACACGUUCGACGGUGAGGGAUGAAAGCUGGGGGAGCAAACCGGAUUAGAAACCCGGGUAGUCC